rnacentral:rRNA from 1 species
GACGAACGCUGGCGGCGUGCUUAACACAUGCAAGUCGAACGAUGAAGCCGGAGCUUGCUCUGGUGAAUUAGUGGCGAACGGGUGAGUAACACGUGAGUAACCUGCCCUUGACUCUGGGAUAACUGCGGGAAACUGUAGCUAAUACCGGAUACGACCCUCGGAGGCAUCUCCUGGGGGUGGAAAGAAUUUCGGUCAAGGAUGGACUCGCGGCCUAUCAGCUAGUUGGUGAGGUAAAGGCUCACCAAGGCGACGACGGGUAGCCGGCCUGAGAGGGUAACCGGCCACACUGGGACUGAGACACGGCCCAGACUCCUACGGGAGGCAGCAGUGGGGAAUAUUGCACAAUGGGCGCAAGCCUGAUGCAGCAACGCCGCGUGAGGGAUGACGGCCUUCGGGUUGUAAACCUCUUUUAGCAGGGAAGAAGCGAAAGUGACGGUACCUGCAGAAAAAGCACCGGCUAACUACGUGCCAGCAGCCGCAGUAA